AGACGCUGGCGGCGUGCCUAACACAUGCAAGUCGAGCGGAGUCGAUCGACGGAAGCCUUCGGGCGGAAGAUGGUUGACUUAGCGGCGGAUGGGUGAGUAACGCGUGGGCAACCUGCCCUUAACCGGGGGAUAACAUUGUGAAAACAGUGCUAAUACCGCAUAACAGAGUAUCGGGCAUCCGAUAUUUUUAAAAGGAGCAAUCCGGUUUAGGAUGGGCCCGCGUCCAAUUAGCUAGUUGGUGAGGUAACGGCUCACCAAGGCUACGAUUGGUAGCCGAACUGAGAGGUUGAUCGGCCACAUUGGGACUGAGACACGGCCCAGACUCCUACGGGAGGCAGCAGUGGGGAAUAUUGGGCAAUGGGCGAAAGCCUGACCCAGCGACGCCGCGUGAAGGAUGAAGGUCUUCGGAUUGUAAACUUCUUUGAUCAGGGAAGAAAGAAAUGACGGUACCUGAAGAACAAGCCACGGCUAACUACGUG
rnacentral:rRNA from 1 species